UAAGAGCUCUCGCCCUGCCAGGCUUGAGAGCUAAUGCUGUUAAUUCAUUCCUUGGAUGUCUGA
rnacentral:snoRNA from 1 species